GAUGAAGAACGUAGCGAAAUGCGAUAAGUAAUGUGAAUUGCAGAAUUCAGUGAAUCAUCGAAUCUUUGAACGCUCAUUGCGCCCGCCAGUAUUCUGGCGGGCAUGCCUGUUCGAGCGUCAUUUCAACCAUCAAGCCCCCGGCUUGUGUUGGGGACCUGCGGCUGCCGCAGGCCCUGAAAACCAGUGGCGGGCUCGCUAGUCACUCCGAGCGUAGUAAUACAUCUCGCUCAGGGCGUGCUGCGGGUUCCGGCCGUUAAAAAGCCUUAUUUACCCAAGGUUGACCUCGGAUCAGGUAGGAAGACCCGCUGAACUUAAGCAUAUCAAUAAGCGGAGGA
rnacentral:misc_RNA from 1 species